GGAUCCUUAGUACGGCGAGUGAACCGGGAAAAGCUCAAUUUGUAAUCUGGCUGUCUUCGAGAGUCCGAGUUGUAAUCUAUAGACGUGUUUUCCGUGCUGGACCGUAUCCAAGUCCCUUGGAACAGGGUAUCAAAGAGGGUGACAAUCCCGUGCUUGAUACGACCACCAGUGCUCUGUGAUACACGCUCUACGAGUCGAGUUGUUUGGGAAUGCAGCUCAAAAUGGGUGGUAAAUUCCAUCUAAAGCUAAAUAUUGGCGAGAGACCGAUAGCGAACAAGUACCGUGAGGGAAAGAUGAAAAGCACUUUGGAAAGAGAGUUAAACAGUACGUGAAAUUGUUGAAAGGGAAACGAUUGAAGUCAGUCGUGUUCUUUGGAUUCAGCUAGUUCUUCUAGUCUACUUCCUUUGAACGGGUCAACAUCAGUUUUGUCCGGUGGAUAAAGAUAGUAGGAAUGUAGCUCCCUCGGGAGUGUUAUAGACUAUUAUUGCAUGCACUGGGUGAGACUGAGGACUGCAGCUCGCCUUUUGGCCGACCUUCGGGUACGUUCGAGCUUAGGAUGUUGACAUAAUGGCUUUAAACGACCCGUCUGA
rnacentral:rRNA from 1 species